AUAAACCUGAAAAUGUUUGUACAGAUCCAUCUGGCUAGGCAAAUGGUUAGCGUUUCUGUGCAGGUGACAUGUAAAAAUCAAAGGCCAAAUUCUCAGCUGUGAUCUGGCUGUGCCUUUAAAGGGUCUGGACUAAUCCUUAGCUUCAGUUGGCUGGAAUAGAAGAUUGGCAGCCUAUGAUCAAAGUUUUAUGCUGGGGGCAGAUCGGGUGAGUGUUGAGUGGUUCUGUGCUGAGGUAAUGAUAAAGUGACUGAUGGAGGCCAUAAGAAUCUGGGGUAAUUGAAGGCAUGCAUGACACUGCCCUAGACUAUGUUGGGAGAAGAAUCAGAGUAAAAAGACCCCAUAAUGGUGAAACUAUGACUGUACCUUUGUGCCGCUUUCUGUCUCUCCAAACCUUUUAGCCAGUUCAUGGCUGAGAACCUGACCUUUAAAUUACAGGACCUGGGAGACUGCAAGACAUGUCCUACAACAUGUAGUAUGGAUCCCAGGCUGCCAUUUCAUGUAUAGCAUUGGACUGUCAAUGAUAGAAUGAUAAGGAUGUGGGAAUGUCUUCUGUGACUUUGUUACAAUGUAGUGGUAUAAACAGUUACCUUAGUCUUUUCUUCACUUAAGUGAUACUCUCAGAAGGCCAGGUAUGGUCCUUUCCUUUUUGUCUUUUACAUCUAGAAGAAGUCUGUGAUUACAGCACUCUUUAGAAAACCAUUACAUGUGCCAUAGCACAGAACUGAAUAUGGAGCACCCAUGCAAGGUGUCUAAUUGCAGUAGUUUGCAUCUUUGGAUGUAUCUCUAGUUGCUGUAGCGGUUUCUUCCCUGACUUAUUAUCUGAAAUAAUAAGUCACAUUAUUUCAGAUUGUCAGAAUAGAAGAUAGUAUACAAGAGAUUGAUUGUUUAUUUUGUUGAGCCAGAAGAAACAAAGUACUCCUCUGGCAAUUAUUGAUCAUAAUUGCACAAAUGAUAGAAUAUUUCUAGUAUGAAGAAUAAUGGCCUGCUGUGUUUCAAACCUAGUGUUUGCACCAUAAGUUACUGAAAUUACUCUUUGUUUUUCUCUAUGAUGAAAACCAAAUAUGCUUUCUCUCAGGCAGAGCUUUAAACAACUUACUAGAAACAGCUGUCUCAUCCUUCCACCCAUCCUUGUAUACUGACUGUAUAAUCAGCUUUUUCAGUGCAUUGUUCAGUAGGAUAACACUGGUUCAGGGUUCAAUAUGCUACUUGUAUUCAUUUGAGUUCCCAUUUCAUUUUAAAGACUUCUAAAGAGGAGAAAAGGAUUAAAAAAAUAAAGAUUCCAAAUAUUUAUUUCUAUCCUUCUAUUAUGGAAGAAAUUUUUAAUGAUACCACAAAAAAAAAA
rnacentral:lncRNA from 1 species